UUGCUAGGGUUUCCUGGUGCUCCCCAUGGCCGCCGCAUCCGAACGGCCACCCGAGGCGGAGCCGGCGCCUCUCUCGACCCUUCGAUUUGGCCGUUCUCGUUUUCGAUCUUUGAUAGAUUUCGUUUGUUGUUGAUGUGUUUUCCGCGAUCGACCGCACGUAAGUUCUUCCUGGAAAUCCCUCGGCGCGAGCCGUCGGGGCGAAUGAUUUCGAGGAUUUUAUGUGUGCGCACAGCGAGAUGAUCCUGAUCUGCUUGAGCCUUCUCCUCUUGUCUUUCUCCCACGGAGAUGUGCUCCAAUGUAAUCGGAUUACAGUUCUCCUCUUUCUUCCUCUCUGGUUCUUCACUGCUUCUUCCCGUUCGUCUCUCGACGGGGAUGGGCUUCACAAAUUUCGAGCUGAUUAUUCAAGAAAAUGAGUUUUUUUUUUUAUUUAGUAGCAGUUUUUUUGUCUAAAUAGUGAAAUAUAUUUUGACCCAUUUUCCUAAAUAAGAGACACGAUCGAAUUAGAGAAAACCCAUUUUCCAAAAAUCGAUUUUUCGUGAAGUAAACCGAGUACUUAAGAGAUUUAAACAUUUUUGGACUUCCUGAAUUUUAUGAAUUCGUGUUUGUUUAGUUUGUAUUAGGCGUAAUCAAGAGAUUUAUCUUUUCUUUUUCUUUUUUUUUGGGGGGUGGGGAAUCUGCCACUUUUGUUUUUCAGUUUUUGAAAUAAAAA
rnacentral:lncRNA from 1 species